rnacentral:tRNA from 1 species
GCGGACCAUGAAUAGUCCCCAUUAUACCAACAUGAGGAGGCAGAAUAAACCCACACACUCUUGU